CCUACGGGAGGCAGCAGUGAGGAAUCUUGGUCAAUGGGCGAGAGCCUGAACCAGCCAAGUCGCGUGAGGGAGUACUGCCCUAUGGGUUGUAAACCUCUUUUGUCGGGGAGCAAAAGCCGGACGUGUCCGGCUGUGAGAGUACCCGAAGAAAACGCAUCGGCUAACUCCGUGCCAGCAGCCGCGGUAAUACGGAGGAUGCGAGCGUUAUCCGGAUUUAUUGGGGUUAAAGGGUGCGCAGGCGGAUUUUUAAGUCAGCGGUCAAAUCGUGGGGCUCAACCCCAUCCAGCCGUUGAAACUGGGGAUCUAGAGUGUGCGAGAGGUAUGCGGAAUGCGUGGUGUAGCGGUGAAAUGCAUAGAGAUCACGCAGAACCCCGAUUGCGAAGGCAGCAUACCGGUGCACAACUGACGCUCAGGCACGAAAGCGUGGGUAUCGAACAGGAUUAGAUACCCCAGUAGUC
rnacentral:rRNA from 1 species